AUCAGAUUGAACGCUGGCGGCAGGCCUAACACAUGCAAGUCGAGCGGAUGAUUGGAGCUUGCUCCAUGAUUCAGCGGCGGGCGGGUGAGUAAUGCCUAGGAAUCUGCCUGGUAGUGGGGGACAACGUUUCGAAAGGAACGCUAAUACCGCAUACGUCCUACGGGAGAAAGCAGGGGACCUUCGGGCCUUGCGCUAUCAGAUGAGCCUAGGUCGGAUUAGCUAGUUGGUGAGGUAAUGGCUCACCAAGGCUACGAUCCGUAACUGGUCUGAGAGGAUGAUCAGUCACACUGGAACUGAGACACGGUCCAGACUCCUACGGGAGGCAGCAGUGGGGAAUAUUGGACAAUGGGCGAAAGCCUGAUCCAGCCAUGCCGCGUGUGUGAAGAAGGUCUUCGGAUUGUAAAGCACUUUAAGUUGGGAGGAAGGGCAGUAAGCUAAUACCUUGCUGUUUUGACGUUACCGACAGAAUAAGCACCGGCUAACUUCGUGCCAGCAGCCGCGGUAAUACGAAGGGUGCAAGCGUUAAUCGGAAUUACUGGGCGUAAAGCGCGCGUAGGUGGUUCGUUAAGUUGGAUGUGAAAGCCCCGGGCUCAACCUGGGGAACUGCAUCCAAAACUGGCGAGCUAGAGUAUGGCAGAGGGUGGUGGAAUUUCCUGUGUAGCGGUGAAAUGCGUAGAUAUAGGAAGGAACACCAGUGGCGAAGGCGACCACCUGGGCUAAUACUGACACUGAGGUGCGAAAGCGUGGGGGAGCAAACAGGAUUAGAUACCCUG
rnacentral:rRNA from 1 species